GGGGGAACUGAAACAUCUAAGUACCCCGAGGAAAAGAAAUCAACCGAGAUUCCCCCAGUAGCGGCGAGCGAACGGGGAGCAGCCCAGAGUCUGAAUCAGCUUGUGUGUUAGUGGAACGGUCUGGAAAGUCCGACGGUACAGGGUGAUAGUCCCGUACACCAAAAUGCACAGGCUGUGAACUCGAAGAGUAGGGCGGGACACGUGGUAUCCUGUCUGAAUAUGGGGGGACCAUCCUCCAAGGCUAAAUACUCCUGACUGACCGAUAGUGAACCAGUACCGUGAGGGAAAGGCGAAAAGAACCCCGGCGAGGGGAGUGAAAAAGAACCUGAAACCGUGUACGUACAAGCAGUGGGAGCACCUUCGGGUGUGACUGCGUACCUUUUGUAUAAUGGGUCAGCGACUUAUAUUCUGUAGCAAGGUUAACCGUAUAGGGGAGCCGCAGGGAAACCGAGUCUUAACUGGGCGUUAAGUUGCAGGGUAUAGACCCGAAACCCGGUGAUCUAGCCAUGGGCAGGUUGAAGGUUGGGUAACACUAACUGGAGGACCGAACCGACUAAUGUUGAAAAAUUAGCGGAUGACUUGUGGCUGGGGGUGAAAGGCCAAUCAAACCGGGAGAUAGCUGGUUCUCCCCGAAAGCUAUUUAGGUAGCGCCUCGUGAACUCAUCUUCGGGGGUAGAGCACUGUUUCGGCUAGGGGGUCAUCCCGACUUACCAACCCGAUGCAAACUACGAAUACCGAAGAAUGUUAUCACGGGAGACACACGGCGGGUGCUAACGUCCGUCGUGAAGAGGGAAACAACCCAGACCGCCAGCUAAGGUCCCAAAGUCAUGGUUAAGUGGGAAACGAUGUGGGAAGGCACAGACAGCCAGGAUGUUGGCUUAGAAGCAGCCAUCAUUUAAAGAAAGCGUAAUAGCUCACUGGUCGAGUCGGCCUGCGCGGAAGAUGUAACGGGGCUAAACCAUGCACCGAAGCUGCGGCAGCGACACUAUGUGUUGUUGGGUAGGGGAGCGUUCUGUAAGCCUGCGAAGGUGUGCUGUGAGGCAUGCUGGAGGUAUCAGAAGUGCGAAUGCUGACAUAAGUAACGAUAAAGCGGGUGAAAAGCCCGCUCGCCGGAAGACCAAGGGUUCCUGUCCAACGUUAAUCGGGGCAGGGUGAGUCGACCCCUAAGGCGAGGCCGAAAGGCGUAGUCGAUGGGAAACAGGUUAAUAUUCCUGUACUUGGUGUUACUGCGAAGGGGGGACGGAGAAGGCUAUGUUAGCCGGGCGACGGUUGUCCCGGUUUAAGCAUGUAGGCUGGUUAUCCAGGCAAAUCCGGAUAAUCAAGGCUGAGGUGUGAUGACGAGGCACUACGGUGCUGAAGUAACAAAUGCCCUGCUUCCAGGAAAAGCCUCUAAGCAUCAGGUAACAUCAAAUCGUACCCCAAACCGACACAGGUGGUCAGGUAGAGAAUACCAAGGCGCUUGAGAGAACUCGGGUGAAGGAACUAGGCAAAAUGGUGCCGUAACUUCGGGAGAAGGCACGCUGGUGUGUAGGUGAAGUCCCUGCGGAUGGAGCUGAGACCAGUCGAAGAUACCAGCUGGCUGCAACUGUUUAUUAAAAACACAGCACUGUGCAAACACGAAAGUGGACGUAUACGGUGUGACGCCUGCCCGGUGCCGGAAGGUUAAUUGAUGGGGUUAUCCGUAAGGAGAAGCUCUUGAUCGAAGCCCCGGUAAACGGCGGCCGUAACUAUAACGGUCCUAAGGUAGCGAAAUUCCUUGUCGGGUAAGUUCCGACCUGCACGAAUGGCGUAAUGAUGGCCAGGCUGUCUCCACCCGAGACUCAGUGAAAUUGAACUCGCUGUGAAGAUGCAGUGUACCCGCGGCAAGACGGAAAGACCCCGUGAACCUUUACUAUAGCUUGACACUGAACAUUGAGCCUUGAUGUGUAGGAUAGGUGGGAGGCUUUGAAGCGUGGACGCCAGUCUGCGUGGAGCCAACCUUGAA
rnacentral:rRNA from 1 species